UACGUAGGGUGCAAGCGUUGUCCGGAAUUAUUGGGCGUAAAGAGCUCGUAGGCGGUUUGUCGCGUCUGCUGUGAAAGCCUACGGCUUAACCCUGGGCCUGCAGUGGGUACGGGCAGACUAGAGUGCGGUAGGGGAGACUGGAAUUCCUGGUGUAGCGGUGAAAUGCGCAGAUAUCAGGAGGAACACCGGUGGCGAAGGCGGGUCUCUGGGCCGUAACUGACGCUGAGGAGCGAAAGCAUGGGGAGCGAACAGG
rnacentral:rRNA from 1 species